rnacentral:misc_RNA from 1 species
GAACGCACCUUGCGCUCCUUGGCAUUCCGAGGAGCAUGCCUGUUUGAGUGUCGUUGAAUUCUCAGAACCCUCCUCACAGGUGGGUUUGGAUUGGUGGAGGAUGCAUUGGACUUGGACUUUUUUUUGACUCCCUUUGCUUUGCUUCUCUGAAAUGGAUUGGCCUUACGGCUGCGAUUCACGAACCUAGUCGUCGGUAUGAUAAUGUCUUACCUGCUUCUAACCCGUGCCAGCCCGGCCCAGACGAGACGAUGGUCUCUAUCUAUCUACAAUUUGACCUCAAAUCAGGCAGGACUACCCGCUGAACUUAAG